rnacentral:rRNA from 1 species
CGCAGACAACCAGGAUGUUGGCUCAGAAGCAGCCACUCAUUCAAAGAGUGCGUAAUAGCUCACUGGUCGAGCGUCUUUGCGCGGAGAAUUUAACGGGGCUAAACCUGACACCGAAGCUUAGGCAAUCCAGUAAUGGAUUGGGUAGGGGAGCGUUGUAUACGCGGAGAAACAGUAGCGUGAGCGGCUGUGGAGUGUAUAGAAGUGAGAAUGCCGGAAUGAGUAGCGCGAAUGCAGUGAGAAUCUGCAUGGCCGAAAGCCUCAGGUUUUUGGAGGAAGGUUCGUCCGCUCCAAGUUAGUCGGGAGCUAAGGUGAGGCCGGAAGGCGUAGCCGAUGCACAGACGGUAGAGAUUCCGUCACCACCAAAAGAGUUAAGCACAGGGACACAUUUGAAGUCUCAGAGCCGGGUGUUGGUUCCGGUAGAGAUCGAGGGAAGUUAGUACCGAAGUCUGGGAUGGAAGAUGGCGAGAAAAGCUGUGUGUAUUUCUGAGGUGCCCGUACCGCAAACCGACACAGGUAGGUAGGAAGAAGAUUCUAAGGCCAACGGGAGAAGGGUUGUUAAGGAACUCGGCAAAUUGACCCCGUAACUUCGGGAGAAGGGGUGCUCCAGAGAUGGAGCCGCAGAGAAUCGGCCCAAGCAACUGUUUACCAAAAACACAGGUUUGUGCUAAAUCGAAAGAUGACGUAUACGAGCUGACGCCUGCCCGGUGCUGGAAGGUUAAGAGGAGAUGUGCAAGCAUUGAAUCGAAGCCCCAGUGAACGGCGGCCGUAACUAUAACGGUCCUAAGGUAGCGAAAUUCCUUGUCAGGUAAGUUCUGACCCGCAUGAAAGGCGUAAUGAUUUGGGCACUGUCUCAACAGCCCGCCCGGCGAAAUUGUAGUACCGGUGAAGAUGCCGGUUACCCGCGACAAGACGGAAAGACCCCAUGGAGCUUUACUGUAGCCUAAUAUUGGGUUUCGAUGUUGCAUGCACAGGAUAGAUGGGACACUGGGAAACAAUCGCUUUGGCGGUUGCGGAGUGGCCGUUGGGAUACCAUCCUUGCGAUAUUGGAAUUCUAACCUGCGGCUCUGAAUCGAGUCGGGGGACAUUGUUAGGUGGGCAGUUUGACUGGGGCGGUCGCCUCCUAAAAAGUAACGGAGGCGUUCAAAGGUUCGCUCAGCUUGAACGGAAAUCAAGCAAAAGAGUGCAAACGCAGAAGCGAGCCUAACUGCGAGACUGACGGGUCGAGCAGUAACGAAAGUUGGAGUUAGUGAUCCGGUGGUAUGUGAGUGGAAAUGCCAUCGCUCAACGGAUAAAAGUUACCCUGGGGAUAACAGGCUGAUCUCCCCCAAGAGUCCACAUCGACGGGGAGGUU